CAGUAGCCACGGGAAUACGUAGGUGGCAAGCGUUGUCCGGACUUAUUGGGCGUAAAGCGAGCGCAGGCGGUUCCUUAAGUCUGAUGUGAAAGCCCACGGCUCAACCGUGGAAGGUCAUUGGAAACUGGGAAACUUGAGUGCAGAAGAGGAGAGUGGAAUUCCACGUGUAGCGGUGAAAUGCGUAGAGAUGUGGAGGAACACCAGUGGCGAAGGCGACUCUCUGGUCUGUAACUGACGCUGAGGAGCGAAAGCGUGGGGAGCGAACAGGAUUAGAUACCCCCGUAGUCCCUGUCUCUUAUAC
rnacentral:rRNA from 1 species